CAUUUUUAAUUCCUCUUUUGCCUCUGGAAGAGGAACCAGCCCUGCAUUGCAUCCUCUGAGUUGCAGCUCGAGAUUUUCCUUCCUCUUAACAUUUUCUGACUUCAGUCCAGGCAGUUACAACUGGCUGAAGUUUGUCACAACCUGAUUUUAUUUCUCUUUUCUGAUCUGUUUGCUCUUUAAAAACAAGAUCAGCAGCUCCUUUACUCGAUCCAGCCCUGAUUUUGAUUCCUCAGCCACAGCCACCUCCCAAGAGAUGAGAGAAUUCCCCAUUUUCAGGUGGAAUUAUCCCAGUUUUCCAACCUCCUGGAGAAGCUGAGUUUGGAGCGGGGUGAAGGCUGGGGACAGAGGAGGGAAAGCGGCUGCGGGCAUCUCUGAAACCCCCUGGAAUUUUUUUCCAGGGGGAAUUUCCACAUCAUCGAGGCAUUCCCAGGGAUGGGAUGGGGAUCGGGCAGGAGAGGGAAGAGCCAGCUCUCCUUUCCUGGAUGUCACCCGGACUGGGAUCCCCCAGGAAAAAUCGGGAUUUCUCUCAUCUCCCUUCCCGGCGGGGCGGAGCGCUUUUCACUCCCGGAUUUUUCCAGCAGGAAAAAACUUCCCGGCUAAUUAAGAGCCCGAUGCGUGGGGAAGAGUGUAAUAAUUAAUCUAAAUGUGGGAAUUUAGGAAGUGACCCCGUGAUCGGUUCCUCCCUUUGCCCUGCUCUUAUCUGCAGAGAACGAGAGCAGACACAAUAAAACUUUUCCCUCCUCA